AUCGAUAUCUUUUCUGUCUUCGUUCAUCCAUACCUCUCUCUCUGUCUCUCUUCGUUCGUCCCUCUCCCUCUCUCUCUCUCUCUCUCUCGAGUACCCCUCUCUCUCUCCUGCCAUUGUUGAUCUCUCCUACAACGCGAAAAGCUCUGUCUACGCUAUGUCAUCAUUUUUUGGGUGCUUGGUAUAACUGAAGAUGCUUAUGGAGCUUUUAUUCAAGCCUUUGGAUGCUAUUUUGAAAGGCCUAACUUUGCCUCUAUGGUUACACUUUGGAGUUUUUUUGCUGCAACUGAGUUGCUAAUGUGAAGUACCUUCAAUUUCUACUUCAACAGGGAGCAACACUCUAGUGCUAAGUUUUAAAUCAUUCUGUUUCUUGCUAUUUGUAAAGAACUUGAUGCUUAUUUGUCUUGUUCUCUCUCUCUCUCUCUUUUUAGAUGCUUGGAUUUUUUAUUUCAUACUUUUUGUGGUACGAUUUUUCUUUAUUUGUACUUUACGAAUUCGAAUAAAGUUUGUCAAGUAUUUGGUGAACACUUUUAUUUAUGGAAGUUAUGAAUGGAUUAUUAUUGAAUUU